rnacentral:rRNA from 1 species
CCUACGGGUGGCUGCAGUGGGGAAUAUUGGACAAUGGGCGAAAGCCUGAUCCAGCCAUGCCGCGUGUGUGAAGAAGGCCUUCGGGUUGUAAAGCACUUUCAGUGGGGAAGAAAGCCUUGGGGCUAAUACCCUCGAGGAAGGACAUCACCCACAGAAGAAGCACCGGCUAACUCCGUGCCAGCAGCCGCGGUAAUACGGAGGGUGCGAGCGUUAAUCGGAAUUACUGGGCGUAAAGCGCGCGUAGGCGGUCUGAUAAGCCGGUGUGAAAGCCCCGGGCUCAACCUGGGAACGGCAUCCGGAACUGUCAGGCUAGAGUGCAGGAGAGGAAGGUAGAAUUCCCGGUGUAGCGGUGAAAUGCGUAGAGAUCGGGAGGAAUACCAGUGGCGAAGGCGGCCUUCUGGACUGACACUGACGCUGAGGUGCGAAAGCGUGGGUAGCAAACAGGAUUAGAUACCCGAGUAGUC